rnacentral:hammerhead_ribozyme from 1 species
CAAUGCUGACGAGUCCCAAGAAACAGGACGAAACAGUUGUCCAGUUG